AAAAACUUGAAGUGCUCCUGAAAGUUUAUGGGAAAAGGCGUAGGAGUUGUUCCUCGAUCAAAGCAAAGGUUGUUCUCCAUGAUGAUGGGUGUUAUACUUGGUGCUUUCUUUUCCUCAAAAUCCUGUGAAAAUAGAACAAGACUGCUCGGAUGCUCCGGUUGUAAAAAGGUUAGUUCUGUAAUAGUCUGUUCUUUAUUAAACAUAAAAUCAAGUUCUGGAAAAGGAAGAUCGCAAUUAUCCUCACAAAUCAUCAAACUUUCAAUU
rnacentral:lncRNA from 1 species